GACGAACGCUGGCGGCGCGCCUAACACAUGCAAGUCGAACGAGAGAUGAGGAGCUUGCUCUUCAAAUCGAGUGGCGAACGGGUGAGUAACGCGUGAGGAACCUGCCUCAAAGAGGGGGGACAACAGUUGGAAAUGACUGCUAAUACCGCAUAAGCCCACGGCUCGGCAUCGAGCAGUGUGAAAAACUCCGGUGGUACAAGAUGGACCCGCGUCUGAUUAGCUGGUUGGUGAGGUAACGGCCCACCAAGGCGACGAUCAGUAGCCGGCCUGAGAGGGUGAACGGCCACAUUGGGACUGAGACACGGCCCAAACUCCUACGGGAGGCAGCAGUGGGGAAUAUUGCACAAUGGGGGAAACCCUGAUGCAGCAACGCCGCGUGAGUGAAGAAGUAUUUCGGUAUGUAAAGCUCUAAUCAGCAGGAAGAAAAUGACGGUACCUGACUAAGAAGCCCCGGCGUAACUACGUG
rnacentral:rRNA from 1 species